CCUACGGGGGGCAGCAGUGGGGAAUAUUGCACAAUGUGGGAAACCCUGAUGCAGCAACGCCGCGUGAGUGAAGAAGUAUUUCGGUAUGUAAAGCUCUAUCAGCAGGGAAGAAAAUGACGGUACUUGAUUAAGAAGCCCCGGCUAACUACGUGCCAGCAGCCGCGGUAAUACGUAGGGGGCAAGCGUUAUCCGGAUUUACUGGGUGUAAAGGGAGCGUAGACGGUGAGGCAAGUCAGAAGUGAAAGCCCGGGGCUCAACUCCGGGACUGCUUUUGAAACUGUGUGACUGGAGUGCUGGAGAGGUAAGCGGAAUUCCUGGUGUAGCGGUGAAAUGCGUAGAUAUUAGGAAGAACACCAGUGGCGAAGGCGGCUUACUGGACUGUAACUGACGUUGAGGCUCGAAAGCGUGGGGAGCAAACAGGAUUAGAUACCCGAGUAGUC
rnacentral:rRNA from 1 species